rnacentral:siRNA from 1 species
AAUAUAUUGUAAGCGUUUUCACGAU